AUAUGGAAGAUUCGAACCUGCCGCAGGUUCGGGUCGAACGCAGUGAGACAACGGAGCCGUUUACGGCGACGGCCCGUAGGGCGAGCGAAGCGAGUCAUCCUGCACGACCCACCA
rnacentral:sRNA from 1 species